rnacentral:rRNA from 1 species
UACGGGGGGGGCAAGCGUUGUUCGGAAUUACUGGGCGUAAAGGGCUCGUAGGCGGCCAACUAAGUCAGACGUGAAAUCCCCUCGGCUUAACCGGGGAACUGCGUCUGAUACUGGAUGGCUUGAGGUUGGGGAGAGGGAGUGCGGAAUUCCAGGUGUAGCGGUGAAAUGCGUAGAUAUCUGGAGGAACACCGGUGGCGAAGGCGGCAUCCUGGACCAAUUCUGACGCUGAGGAGGCGAAAGCCAGGGGAGCAAACGGG